UACGGAGGGGGCUAGCGUUGUUCGGAAUUACUGGGCGUAAAGCGCACGUAGGCGGCUUUGUAAGUUAGAGGUGAAAGCCCAGGGCUUAACCCUGGAAUUGCCUUUAAGACUGCAUCGCUAGAAUUGUGGAGAGGUAAGUGGAAUUCCGAGUGUAGAGGUGAAAUUCGUAGAUAUUCGGAAGAACACCAGCGGCGAAGGCGACUUACUGGACACAUAUUGACGCUGAGGUGCGAAAGCGUGGGGAGCAAACAGG
rnacentral:rRNA from 1 species